rnacentral:rRNA from 1 species
AGCAGCCGCGGUAAUUCCAGCUCCAAUAGCGUAUAUUAAAGUUGUUGCAGUUAAAAAGCUCGUAGUUGAAUUUCGGGGUCAAUAAGUUGGUCAUGCCAAUGGUAUGCACUGGCUUUAUUGAUUCCUACCUCUUGACGAACUGUGAUGCCAUUAAUUUGGUGUUGCAAGGAAUCAGGACUGUUACCUUGAAAAAUUAGAGUGUUUAAAGCAAGCUUACGCUUGAAUACAUUAGCAUGGAAUAAUGAAAUAGGACGUUUGAACCUAUUUUGUUGGUUUCUAGGAUCGACGUAAUGAUUAAUAGGGAUAGUUGGGGGCAUUAGUAUUCAAUUGUCAGAGGUGAAAUUCUUGGAUUUAUUGAAGACUAACUACUGCGAAAGCAUUUGCCAAGGAUGUUUUCAUUAAUCAAGAACGAAAGUUAGGGGAUCGAAGACGAUCAGAUACCGUCGUAGU